GUUUUUAAUUGCUGUGAGCAUUUCCUGAAUUUCUGGUUUCACAUUUGCUGCAUUUCACGCUGUGUUUUUUUUUUUUUUGAAUCUGUCACUCAUUAUUUCGAUUUCUAUUUUAGGCAUUUUUAUGUUUCCCAAUGCUCCCGUGUGUUUCCCUGGGGGGGAUUUCCUUAUGUGGCUGAAAGUCUCGUUUGCCUGCAGCUGUGUUUCACUGAGCAAUCAUUGCCUUGUGGGAAUGCAGGAGCAAGGAGCGUGGCAAUUGGUCAAUUUUUGGGAGCCUGGGGGUUUUAACCUUUUAAGGAGGCCUAUAGGUUUUUUUGGAAUGCCUUUUGGAUACUCCAACUCAGUGUUCUAGAACUCCAUUGCUUUCAGUCGCCAGUGGCAAUUGUUACAUCAGCAUUGGAAGGUUCAGUCAAGGUUGUGUUUGUCAUGACCUUAUUACACAUUAAACUAAUGGGCUAAAAGCUGGUUUUGAGAGACCGUUGGGAGCUUGUUCUUGUGGUGAGUUUUGUUGCAGGGUCACAGGAGGAUGGGGACAGGCACGUCAUUUUUGCCUCGGCUGACCAGAGAUGUAAAUCGUGAAAGUUACUCAGAGGAGGGCCAGUCACGUGAUCCGGUACCCCAGAGGCCACAAACGUUCUAUGUAUAAUGACACCCUGCAACCAUUUUGCGAUCCAAACAAGUACACCCCAAGCAGCAUACAACGUGUGAACACUUUGAAGUCCGAGGAAUGGAAGUCGGCCAAUCAUUUCUCCCAUGUGAUGUGAAUGCAAUGAAUCCCAUGUGACGUGAAUGCUGAUAGGCCAGCUUGAAGCCUACAGAAGAGACCUUCUCCCUGUCUGCUCUGUCUCUCAUUCCUGACAAAAGGCACCACAGUUGUUCAUGCAUUGUUUGUAUUGGCUCUGUUAUUGUAAUUUUUCUUUCCUUGUAAAUAUAAAACUUUUGUUGGCACAAAUGAAUCAGAAUUAAUUUUUUUAAAUGCCAUUGUCUUCUUGGACAUAAGGCUGUAGUACAAUGUAUUUUGCUGUUAUCCUCUAAGAGUCAUGUAUUAUAUAUUAGUUCAAAAUUACAUUCAUUUAUUUAACCUGGCCUGUUUUUGUACAGCACUUUGAGUUGCUUUUUGCAUGAAAGGUGCAAUAUAAAUAUAAAUAAACUUGAAACUUGUUAAAUUAGGAAGUCUUCCUGUUUGUUUGAAU